rnacentral:tRNA from 1 species
GCGUUCAUAGCUCAGUUGGUUAGAGCACCACCUUGACAUGGUGGGGGUCGUUGGUACGAGUCCAAUUGAACGCACCA